CAAACGAGUCAAGUCAGUACCUAUAUUAUUCAAAGUUAUGUCUCAUAAAUAAAUUAGAUAAGUUAGUAUUUUGUUUUACACAAAACAUUUAGUUUUAAUGUGAUUUUUACAGUGUCUCAAACAGUGCUAAGAGUAUCGUGAAGUGUAUCCAUAAUUCAUCGACUUUUUUAACAGUGUAAAAGAUUAUACUUACAGAGUUAUAUUUAAUUCGUGAUCAAGCCCGCAACUAACGAAAUGUGAAAUCACAAUCAUCACAUUUGCGAACUGGUGCGUCGGGCGGCCAUCGACGCGGCGUCGGCAACCGCAUCGUGCGAUCCGAAGGCCAUAAACGCAGGGCUCACUGUCCACAUAACAGCUAGAACGUGAUUUACAUAUGGAAUGCGUGAAUAGCCUGUCUACCUAAGCCUUAGCGCACACUACAAAGUUGCUUAUAAUUUAUGGCGGGGCGGUUUAUGGGCGAUGGGCCAAGUUCGCACAUGCGUCGUGUGCGCCGUCGCGACUUGUAUCCAACUCAUAAAUAUCCGCUAACCCCUUCAAGGGUCAGAUUUUACAGUUAAUACACCGUAGCAGCGAGAUUGCCCCUGCUCUUUACCAUAGCAGAACGAUUUUCCCUAUCCUUUGUCCUUAUUUUACAUUCACAACACACAGUUCCUGCCUUUCCUCACCACGCGCUGUACAAUCUCUCGUUCACACUAAUAAGAAAUACAUUCUCCAUUCCAUUCCCACAAUCGUAAAUAUGGAUGCUGCGUAGUGAACGCGAGAAUGUGGGGGUUGGGGACGCAGCGUGUUUCCGGAGGGUAAAAUGGGGUGCUUAGUAAGUUGAAAAUGUGACAAAGUUUUAUCAA
rnacentral:lncRNA from 1 species